AGGGCAUGCACAUUUUGUGUGUUAUUAACAUGGUCAGACAGACUUCUUGAAAAAUUUUAUUCUUUUCAACUUAGAGGACCUAUUUCUGGCUCAGCCAUUUUAUUGGCACCUUUAUCCAAUUAAAUUAAGGUAAAAAAAAAUCCUUUUUUUUUUUCACAAUGCUUCUGUCAUUCUUUCUGAUUCAGCUUUUAAAAGCAGUCCAUCUUCAAGGCCAUGAAGGACCUGUUUAUGCGGUGCAUGCUGUUUACCAGAGGAGGACAUCAGAUCCUGCUUUAUGUACACUGAUCGUUUCUGCAGCUGCAGAUUCUGCUGUUCGACUCUGGUCUAAAAAGGGUUCAGAAGUAAUGUGCCUUCAGACUUUAAACUUUGGAAAUGGAUUUGCUUUGGCUCUCUGCUUGUCUUUUUUGCCAAAUACUGAUGUACCAAUAUUAGCAUGUGGCGAUGAUGAUUGCAGAGUUCACGUAUUUGCUCAACAAAAUGAUCAGUUUCAGAAAGUGCUUUCUCUCUGUGGACAUGAGGAUUGGAUUAGAGGAGUGGAAUGGGCAGCCUUUGGUAGAGAUCUUUUCCUAGCAAGCUGUUCACAAGAU
rnacentral:sRNA from 1 species